rnacentral:rRNA from 1 species
CGGGAUCCUACGGGAGGCAGCAGUGGGGAAUAUUGCACAAUGGGCGCAAGCCUGAUGCAGCCAUGCCGCGUGUAUGAAGAAGGCCUUCGGGUUGUAAAGUACUUUCAGCAGUGAGGAAGGUGGGUAUGUUAAUAGCAUAUUCAUUUGACGUUAGCUGCAGAAGAAGCACCGGCUAACUCCGUGCCAGCAGCCGCGGUAAUACGGAGGGUGCGAGCGUUAAUCGGAAUUACUGGGCGUAAAGCGCAUGCAGGUGGUUUGUUAAGUCAGAUGUGAAAGCCCGGGGCUCAACCUCGGAAUUGCAUUUGAAACUGGCAAACUAGAGUACUGUAGAGGGGGUAGAAUUUCAGGUGUAGCGGUGAAAUGCGUAGAGAUCUGAAGGAAUACCGGUGGCGAAGGCGGCCCCCUGGACAGAUACUGACACUCAGAUGCGAAAGCGUGGGGAGCAAACAGGAUUAGAUACCCUGGUAG